UUUGCCCACCCUGGUUUAAACUAUAAACUGCCCAGCAAGGAUAUCAGGUCAACCCUGAAGAUCAGGAAGGGUGCAGGACAGCCUCCUGUGCCUGUUUCCCUAGGAAGGAACUUCUGUGGUCACCCAGAUGCUUCCUUUCUGCAGCCAGAGAUUUUCCUCAUGAAAGGCCCAGAGUCAAGAAGAAUCAGAUGAGUCCUUUGGUGGUCAGUGAACCGAGUGUGUGUCUGAUGGCCCUGAGUUACAUGAGUGCUGGGCUGUGAAGGAAGAUAUGCCAGCUGCCUCCCAGUUCUGAUGAGGACAACCCCCAGGACUGGCCAGGUCAGUUGUCUGGAAUCAUCACUGAACUCCCAUGGCUCUUUCAACUGACUACAUAAUGUGGCAAAGUCAAUGCUUAUCUGCUUGGCUAGGUGACAAAUGUGGACAUAUUUGACUUGUUAUUCAAUUUCUUACAAUAUUCUGUCAAACUGAAUUUAAGUAUGUAGUCAUUAAGGACUUAAAGAAAUAUAUGGAAGACAUUAUAGGGACAAUUGAUGGAAUUUGAAUACAGACUGUGCGUUAGAUAAUAAGAUUGUAUCAGUGUAAAAUGUCCUGAUUUUGACAAUAACUUCAUAGGAAUAAAGAUGUCCUUGUUCUUACGAGUGACACACUGAACUUUGUGGUGAAUCAAAGGACAAUUUCUCCUACUUAAUCUCAAAUACUUAAGAAAAAACAGCAAGAGAGAUUGAUUAAGUGAAUGGGGCAAUAUGUGAAACUGGUGAACCUGGAUAAAAAAAAAGAGGAGUUCCUUGUACUAUUCUUGCAACUUUUCUUUAAGUUUGAAAUUCUAUCUAAGUAAAAAGUUACCAGGAAAGAAAGGUGUGCAGUGGAGGAAGCAGAUGUGAGGUGUGCGCAUAGCCAGGAUGACCUGCUCAGACAAGCUGGAAGCAAAUGUGGACUUGCCAUUUAUUUUUCAGCCACUACGUAUUCAUUGUCCCUGUUUGCCUUAAAGUCUUAAAGGCUGGAAGUUUUCCUUGAACUGCCCUGGUGCUUACAGACAAAAGAGGGAGGAGGUCAGUCUUCAUUCCACACCCAAGUGCCCAGAGCCCGCUGCCACUUCUUCCUCCUGCCAUGAGGUGUCGCUGUGGAAGAUGCAUCUUUGGUAUCAGUUGUGUGAGGUGCCUCAGACCUGGCCGGCUGCCUUGGACUUGGAGGGAAAGCUACCCUGCAUGUACCAGGUGCUGUGGAGAAUGCACAGGAGGUUAAUGUCCUUUGGGGAUCGUGAUCAAUAAAUAUGCAGUGAAUUAAAGAUUUUGCCGCAAUUCCUCACCCCUCC